rnacentral:rRNA from 1 species
ACAGCAGUAGCCGCGGGAAUACGGAGGGUGCAAGCGUUAAUCGGAAUUACUGGGCGUAAAGCGCACGCAGGCGGUCUGACAAGUCAGAUGUGAAAUCCCCGGGCUUAACCUGGGAACUGCAUUUGAAACUGUCAGGCUGGAGUCUUGUAGAGGGGGGUGGAAUUCCAGGUGUAGCGGUGAAAUGCGUAGAGAUCUGGAGGAAUACCGGUGGCGAAGGCGGCCCCCUGGACAAAGACUGACGCUCAGGUGCGAAAGCGUGGGGAGCAAACAGGAUUAGAGACCCGUGUAGUCCCUGUCUCUUAUAC